GUUUUGUGUUUUGUAUUGUUUGUUGUUGUGUUGUGUUGCAAUGUUGUUGUAAAGGAAGGAAGAAAGAAAGAGCAUUGGGUGAGUGACUAGUGUGAGUGAUGGAGGAGGAGGCAUGACCACUUCUGCUACAACUUCGGUGUUGUGGGAGGAAUUGAUGCUAAAAGUGAAAUGGAGCGGUAGCAUACUGUUUGCGUCUGCAGCAACGACACUGUGGGUGAACUCAGACAUCGGGUAUGCCCUCUCUCAUUUCAUUUCACACUUUUUCUUUUCAUCACAUUACUCACUUGAAUGAAUGAAUUGUAGUACUAUGGGAG
rnacentral:lncRNA from 1 species